GGGGCUGACUGGUUUUGACAGCAUUUGAACGGAUAGGUAAGCAUGCCGGGCAAGGUAACACAACCCGUAAAACCGCGUUACACACUAUUUUAUUUGGCGAACCUAAUUACGCUCUCGCAGCCUGAUCGAAGUUAUAGUAGACAGGCUUCAUUCUCCGUCGAAGUACGGGGGACGAGACGGCUCGCAGGUGGAGAUGUCUGAUUCCGGCCUGAUAACGAGUCGCAAGCAACUUCAGACUAAUUUUGGCUUCGCCUCACGGCCAAAAUGAAAUUUUAGAGGCUAAGGAAAUAUUUUGGGUGUUUGUCCCCGUGUAUUUCCCGACAAUCAAUGACAAACUAAGCAUGUAGAAAGCAUAUUGGUUUCAUGUUUGGACGAGGGUUCGAAUCCCUCCAGCUCCACA
rnacentral:tmRNA from 1 species